ensembl:processed_transcript Gm11632 predicted gene 11632
AGAAAUGCAGUGACUGGCCCUGCCCUCACCCUGACAGCCUUUCUGGAGGUGAAAGGCGUAAGAGAGUUGUCACUGAAAAGAAGAGAGAGACUUCCUGCCUGUCCGUGGGCAGCCUGGUAGGUGACAGCAUUGAGACUUGGAAGGCCUCAUAGAUCAUGACUGACCUUGGACUGUUGAGAUGGCUCGGCAGGUAAGCACUGUUUGCAGGCCAAGCCUGACAACCUGUUUGUGAUGGUGAAGGAGCGGUAAUGCCGGCUGGGAAUUGUUGUGACUUCCACGGAUGUACCAUGGGAUCCAUGUGCGUUAAUAGAAAGGAUUAUGUAAAAUCCAAGGCUGAUGGCUCUAAAGUCAGGCAGCUCAUGGAGUCAUAAGUGAGAGGGUAGACAAGGAAUGAGCCCUGAACCUUCUCUGAGUUGUACAGGUGGGUUUCUGUGCUGUGGUUUCUGCUGACAGACCAGAGGAUAAGCCCAGCCUUCUUGAAGACUUGAAGACAAGUCUUAAGUCAGAGGGAUGAGGGGAAGUAGGAGUCACAAACCUGCUCACCUUUAUUUUUGUCUUAAGUCUGCAUCAGAAGAUGCAGAAGGCAGUGUUAUCUAUCAAUAGGGCAUGAUUAGCCCUGCUGAUUUGAGAAUAAAAUCUGGCUGUAAAUACAAUAUCCAAAAGACCUACUCUACUCUCUUCAUUCUCC